rnacentral:rRNA from 1 species
AUGCCCAGCGUACAGGGCCGCUCACACAGCAGGCAAGCAGCACCGACGCCCACCAUGGCCAACACUACCUCCUGGUCCAGUGGCCUGUGCGGCUGCUUCGACGACGUUGGCGGCUGUUGCCUGACCUUCUUCUGCCCCUGCGUCACCUUCGGGAGGAUCGCCGCGAUCGUCGACAAGGGAGAAACAUCUUGCUUUGUGAGCGGGACCGGGUAUCUGCUCCUGAACUGGUUGACGGGGUUGGCCUGCCUCCACUCCUUCCGCUACCGCUCCAAGCUGCGGGAACAGUAUGGCCUCCAGGAGAAGCCCUGCCCCGACUGCUGCGUCCACAUGUUCUGCGAGGCCUGCGCCCUCUGCCAGGAGUACCGCGAGCUCAAGACCCGCGGCUUCGACAUGAGCGCCGGAUGGCAGGAGAAUGGCGCCGCGACCGCCGCGCCCCAGAUGAACCCAGGGAUGACUCGCUAG